rnacentral:rRNA from 1 species
UACGUAGGGUGCGAGCGUUAAUCGGAAUUACUGGGCGUAAAGCGUGCGCAGGCGGCUUUGCAAGACAGAUGUGAAAUCCCCGGGCUCAACCUGGGAACUGCCUUUGUGACUGCAUAGCUAGAGUACGGCAGAGGGGGAUGGAAUUCCGCGUGUAGCAGUGAAAUGCGUAGAUAUGCGGAGGAACACCGAUGGCGAAGGCAAUCCCCUGGGCCUGUACUGACGCUCAUGCACGAAAGCGUGGGGAGCAAACAGG